GACAGAGGGUGCAAACGUUGUUCGGAAUUACUGGGCGUAAAGCGCGUGUAGGCGGUUCGUCAAGUCGGAUGUGAAAGCCCUGGGCUUAACCCAGGAAGUGCAUUCGAAACUCACGAACUUGAGUCCCGGAGAGGAAGGCGGAAUUCUCGGUGUAGAGGUGAAAUUCGUAGAUAUCGAGAGGAACAUCUGUGGCGAAGGCGGCCUUCUGGACGGUGACUGACGCUGAGACGCGAAAGCGUGGGGAGCAAACAGG
rnacentral:rRNA from 1 species